rnacentral:rRNA from 1 species
UGCAGUCGAACGAUGACUAUCUAGCUUGCUAGAUAUGAUUAGUGGCGGACGGGUGAGUAACAUUUAGGAAUCUGCCUAGUAGUGGGGGAUAGCUCGGGGAAACUCGAAUUAAUACCGCAUACGACCUACGGGUGAAAGGGGGCGCAAGCUCUUGCUAUUAGAUGAGCCUAAAUCAGAUUAGCUAGUUGGUGGGGUAAAGGCCUACCAAGGCGACGAUCUGUAACUGGUCUGAGAGGAUGAUCAGUCACACCGGAACUGAGACACGGUCCGGACUCCUACGGGAGGCAGCAGUGGGGAAUAUUGGACAAUGGGGGCAACCCUGAUCCAGCCAUGCCGCGUGUGUGAAGAAGGCCUUUUGGUUGUAAAGCACUUUAAGCAGGGAGGAGAGGCUAAUGGUUAAUACCCAUUAGAUUAGACGUUACCUGCAGAAUAAGCACCGGCUAACUCUGUGCCAGCAGCCGCGGUAAUACAGAGGGUGCGAGCGUUAAUCGGAAUUACUGGGCGUAAAGCGAGUGUAGGUGGCUCAUUAAGUCACAUGUGAAAUCCCCGGGCUUAACCUGGGAACUGCAUGUGAUACUGGUGGUGCUAGAAUAUGUGAGAGGGAAGUAGAAUUCCAGGUGUAGCGGUGAAAUGCGUAGAGAUCUGGAGGAAUACCGAUGGCGAAGGCAGCUUCCUGGCAUAAUAUUGACACUGAGAUUCGAAAGCGUGGGUAGCAAACAGGAUUAGAUACCCUGGUAGUCCACGCCGUAAACGAUGUCUACUAGCCGUUGGGGUCCUUGAGACUUUAGUGGCGCAGUUAACGCGAUAAGUAGACCGCCUGGGGAGUACGGCCGCAAGGUUAAAACUCAAAUGAAUUGACGGGGGCCCGCACAAGCGGUGGAGCAUGUGGUUUAAUUCGAUGCAACGCGAAGAACCUUACCUGGUCUUGACAUAGUGAGAAUCCUGCAGAGAUGCGGGAGUGCCUUCGGGAAUUCACAUACAGGGUGCUGCAUGGC